rnacentral:rRNA from 1 species
UACGUAGGGUGCAAGCGUUAAUCGGAAUACUGGGCGUAAAGCGUGCGCAGGCGGCUUUGCAAGACAGAUGUGAAAUCCCCGGGCUUAACCUGGGAACUGCAUUUGUGACUGCAUGGCUGGAGUGCGGCAGAGGGGGAUGGAAUUCCGCGUGUAGCAGUGAAAUGCGUAGAUAUGCGGAGGAACACCAAUGGCGAAGGCGGCAACCUGGUCCUGACUGACGCUGAGGCGCGAAAGCGUGGGGAGCAAACAGG